UUCGCAAUGCCCGAAAGGGUGACGAAGCGACGCCGCGUGCGGGAGGAAGGCCUUCGGGUUGUAAACCGCUGUCGGGAGUUAAGAAAUGCAAGGAUAUUAAUAGUGUCUUUGUUUGACUAAGGCUCCGGAGGAAGCCACGGCUAACUCUGUGCCAGCAGCCGCGGUAAUACAGAGGCGGCAAGCGUUGUUCGGAAUUAUUGGGCGUAAAGAGCACGUAGGCGGCUAUGUAAGUCGGUUGUGAAAGCCUUCCGCUCAACGGAAGAACAGCAUCCGAUACUACAUGGCUUGAGUGCGGGAGGGGAGAGUGGAACUUCUGGUGGAGCGGUGAAAUGCGUAGAUAUCAGAAGGAACGCCGGCGGCGAAAGCGGCUCUCUGGCCCAUAACUGACGCUGAGUGUGCGAAAGCUAGGGGAGCAAACGGGAUUAGAUACCCCGGUAGUCCUAGCCGUAAACGAUGGGCACUAAGUAGAGGGGUUUU
rnacentral:rRNA from 1 species